rfam:Schistosoma mattheei strain Denwood, Zambia genome assembly, scaffold: SMTD_scaffold0002590
ACCCAGCUGACGAGUCCCGAAUAGGAGGAAAUGCGCGUUCUGGAU